rnacentral:lncRNA from 1 species
UUGGGCUUUAGUGCUGUGGUGGUAAGGUGUGGGGAGGGGAAACAAGGUAUAGUCCUGUGAGUAGGUCUCAGUAUGUGGCAAGCCUGUGCUUCUGGACUGUAAACUUCAUCAAGUACUUCUCAAUUUUUUAUCCCCCUUUAGGUGGCACAGGAUGGCUGGAGUGGGCUAGAGUUGGAUAUUCCCCUCACUCAAGAGAACCAACUCCUGCCCCAGUCUCAACACACCUGAUUCUCAGUUGGAGCUGCCGGCUGCAGCAGGGGACCCCACCUGGCCAGCAUUGUCAUCCUUUGGUCAUGCUGGAUGUUCAAGGAUGCUCCUGUGAUCAAUCCCGUUGAGACUGCAAAGGCUGGGUCCAUCUUGAACCAUAUGAAAAUAAAAUAUGCCUUUUAUUUUUCCUACUAGACUUGAAUCUUGUAAAAAUUAAGGCUUUGCCUGCUAGGGUCACUGUAAGUUGUAGGUAUGUUCUACCUGAAAGGGAGACACCACAGAAGAAAACUGAAGCAAGAAAAGAAGACAAAUCAACUCCCGAUAAUGUGAUGUGAGGUGUGAGGUCCUUGCAGGCUCAAAGAAGUUUCUAACUGGUUCUCUUUGUAAUCACCAGAGCCAAUUCACAUCUUUUUUUUUCCCCCAAGCUUAUUUGAAUUGAAGUCUUCUGUCACUUGGAAUUUCAGAAGCCCUGACAAAUAAAAUGGUUCAUUAAUUGAAUCGGCUAUAUCACAAUUCAAAUGGUGGCCUGACAACAUAUCUGCAGAUAUCAAAAUUCUACCAUAAUAAUUAGACUAUAAAUGGUGUUUAGUCCUAUUUUCAGUAUUCUCAAAAGUGCUGUCUUAGAAAUUAAGCCACCGCUUUUUCUGCACAAGAAUUCCUUUCAUGCCAUCCCAGCAAAUCUGCCUCUAUGCGCUCAGAUGCAGAACUGGUUCUGAAUUGUGCAAAGAGCCACUAUUGCCAGCUCUGCUCCAUUUUUUUUCUGGCAGCCCCAGCGUCCAAUCAAGAUUUCUGGAUCUUUUCCAAUUAUAACACCAUUUGGAAAUACUCAGCAUUUUCCAGCCUUGAAUAAUGUAUUGAUCUCUUUAAAGUAGAAAAUAUUCUCACAGACCCCCAAUGUUGACUUCAAUUCUUUUUAUUGUAAUUUUACUUAAAUAUAUAUGCAAACAUAAAACACUACAAACUGUUAGGCUUAUAGCUUUUAGACAACUAUAAAAAUAAACUUACAGAACAGAUAUAAUAUAAACUACAAAACCAAUGAAAUGGAAACGAGCUACAUUAGCUUACCAGGACAGAGCAGAGAGUAUUCCCGAAGCUCCAUGCCUGCUCAGCUUGGGAGGCCAAUGUUUCUAAUUACUCUUGAGUUCUGAGCUCAGCAUUGUCAGAGGAUUCCUGCCUAGCGGGGCCAGGAUUCUCCAACAUUUUUCUGUAUUUAGAUUAUUUCAAUGCUUCAUUAGCAUGGCUUCCCAUAAAGUCACUGGCCUCUACUUAACAUAACUGUAGCUGUUAUUUAUGAAGACUCUCUGCUGUGUCUUAUUGAAUCUGUGACUAUUAAAAUUGUACCAAAAGCAGUAUCAGCAUAAUAAUAAACAUUUGAACUGUGAGAAACAAAAUCACAUGAUGGCCCUCAGCAAGGUGAUCAUCUAAAGAUCUAAAAGAUGCUUAUGUAAUUUUAAACCAACUUUAUUGAGGAAUAGUUUACAUACAAUAAAAUGUACAGACUUUAUAUGCUUGGAUGAAUUUUGACAAAUAUAUACAUUUGUAACAAACACACCAAUCAAAAUAUACAUUGUUACCCCUCAGUAACUUUCCUGUUGUCGAUUUCAGUCAAUAUCCUAUCUGACUGCCAUGAAAGUUGUCAGAAUCAAAAUGGAGUCACUAAUGUUAAGAAACCACUGACAAAUAGAGCUGGGAAAGGCUAUGAAUAGAGACUUCUCAUGCUUGUAUGCCUGAUAACAAAAAAGGCUACAAAAACCAAAACUUUGCACAAAGGCUAUCACAACCCUACACAAAAAAUCUUCCAGGACAUCUGUCCAGCAACUGCCUGUCCAGCCUCUGGCUGGUGUCACCCUUGCUAUUGAUCUUUGUAGUCAAAGAUAAUUAUUUAAAAGCAAUUAUGAAAUUCUUCUCAUUUUCCCUUUAAAAUCCUUAGUUUUCCCUUACCUCCCUGAAUACACACAUAGUUUAGUAUGACAUGUCUACUCCCACUGCAAUGCCCUAUUCCUGGAUAAAUAUCUUUUCUUUUAGAGAGCCUGACUCUGCUUGUUUUUUAGGUUGAUACUGCCAAACCAACCCUUCACACACCCAAUAUCAGAAAAUCACUUCCAUUUUGCUCAAGGACUUCCUAUACAUGGAAUCACAUAGCAUCAUAUAGUCUCUUUUGUGUCGUCUUUCACUCAAUACUAUGUUUUUGAGAUCUAUUCAUGUGAUUAUGUACAUUAGGAAACUGUUCAUUUUUCUUGCUAAGUAGUGUCACAUUGUAUGGCUCUUCAAAAGUUUGUUUCUCCAUUCACCUGUUAAUGACAUUUGGGUUGUUUUUGGGCUUUGGUUAUUGGGAAUAAACUGAUAUGUCUUCCUGUGGGUUUAUGCUCUCUGAGAAGUGUAAUUGCUGUAUGUAUGGUAUAUAUAUAUAACCCUAUAAGAAAUUACUGAAUUACUUUCCAAAAUGUCUGGCCAUGUGCUGUACUUCUACCAGCAGUAUUUGAGAAUUCCCAUUGUUCUACUUCCUUGCCAAUAUUGAUGUUAUUAAUCUUUUUGAAUUUUAGCCAACCUAGUACAUGUGAAGUAGCAUCUCAGCUUACUUUUAAUUUGCCUUUGCCUUCUAACUAGCCAAUGUCAGACACUUUUUCAUGUGCUUUUGGCCUUUUGUAUAUAUUAUGUUGUAAGGAGUCUAUUUAUAAUUGCCUGUUUUUGAAUAAAAACAAAUUGAUUAUUUGUCUUUUUUCUUGAGUUUCUGGAGUUUAUGCAUUUUUUGGAGAGACAUCCUUAGAUAUAAAAAUUAUAAAUAUUUUCCCCCAUUUUCAUUGUUUUUAAUUUUUAUUUUGCUUAUUUCUUUAAUUAUUUAUUUAUUUAGUUUGAGACAGAGUCUCGCUCUGUCAUACAGUCUGAAGUACAGUGGUACAAUCUCGGCUCAUUGCAACUCCAUUUCCCAGGCUCAAGUGAUUCUCCUGCCUCAGCCUCCCGAGUAGCUGGGAUUACACG